rnacentral:rRNA from 1 species
GAGUAGUAUUUAAUAUAAUCGUUAAACUCAAAGAAUUUGGCGGUAUUUUAUCUUAUCAGAGGAAUCUGUUAAUUAAUUGAUAUUCCACGAUCAAUUUACUUUUAUUAUUAUAUUUGUAUACCGCUGUCAUGAGUGUACUGAGAAGUUAAUUUUCAUAAGUUUUAUGUUAGGUCAAGGUGCAGUUUUUAAAGUUAAUAUGGAUUACUUAUAAGAAUGAAAUGAAAUUGGAUUUGACAGUAACAUUAUUAGUAAUAAUGAAUAAAGAUUCUGAAAUAUG